GGUUGUACAAAUGGAAGGAUGGAUUAUCUGCACCCAGGUGGAGCUGCCAAAUUUACGUUUCGCAAUCGAAACGGGACGUUUAGGAAGCGUCGGGAAAUAGUAAAACGGUGCGUGCAAACUGCAAACUGCAAAACCAAUACAUCCUGUUGCUUUAUUUGUUCCCUGGGCCUCCUAUCCCUAAUCGGCGGCCAAUAAAAACGUAUCAAAGACACAGAUCACA
rnacentral:misc_RNA from 1 species